AUUUAUAUAGUUUAAUUUAAAACAUUACAUUUUCACUGUAAAAUUAGAGUUUACUCUUAUAAAUA
rnacentral:tRNA from 1 species